CUUAAUAUUGUCGAUAUUGUCAAGUGUGUUUAGAGCAUAUGAGAGCAUAUGACUGCUGCCAAAGCAGAGGGGAAAGCCUUAAGGAAAAUGAUAGGGGGUGGUGUUGGGAGGACAAGCAUGUAUGUGAGUCAGGGGGAUGAAAACAUACUGAGAAGAAAGAAUGUGUUACAGUGUGUGUCUGACUGGAGUGAGGAGUGGCAUAAGAUUUACAGAGGGAGACAAAAGACAUUUUGCACUGGGAGUGAAUAAUCUGAAUGUACUUCAAAUUGUAGUUUUAGGUGUUCAUUUGAAAGUUCAGAAGUCUGAAGUGAUAAAUAAUGAAGAAUUCACUCCAAAGGAAAAGAAGCUCCAGCUCAGCUUUAACUACAGCUAACAUACAUCCACAUGCUGCUCAAAUCAACACCAGGCCAGUGUGUUUGUCUCAGAUGAGCAGUGUUUUCAAUAGUGUGCCACCACUAUUCGGAACAGCACAAGCUUUCCUACUGAGACUAGCACAACUUGAAGCUCAGUUGGUUUUGAACCUGAUUAGUAAUGUUGCAGCUUUAAAUAAUAGCAGUUAUGGGAACCCCCUUGUUCCUUUAAAUCUCUUACAGCCUGUUGGCAUUCAAAGAUCCUCAUUUUUGAGCAUGUACCAGCAACCCGGGGGGUUUAAAAACAUGGGUUCCAUACCUCACAUGGUUAGCAACCCCUCAACAUCUGUCACAGACAUUAAUUCACUCAUUUCCUAUAAGGAGAGUGGUGCCCUUCUAGCAAAAGAGAUCAUUCAGGAGAAAACACUAGGUCCCUUCAUGAAUAACACAACAGUGUCACUGCCAGCAUCUGAGGAAGCUCUUGUUAGAUCCAGUCACAACCAUCUUGGCAAACAUUUCACCUUCAAACCAGACGUGGACUGUCCUCGAUAUCAGUCAGUGAUAGCCAAAGCAAUGAUGCCUCCUGAUAGACCACAAACCAAAGAAGCAGAGCCAAAGAAACAAAAAAUACUGCAUCUUCCAACAGACAACUUGAACAAAGCUUUGAGCAGCCUUGGUCUUUCUCUUGAGGAUCUAGAAUUACUCAGUCAUUGCCCAGACAACCAGUUAACAACAGAGAAUCUCCCCUUCAUUAUACAAAACAUUCAGCAGCGCAAAGGAACAAAGAAUGUUAAAUAUGGCCAUGCUACAUGGAACUCAUCUGAUCAAGUGGAAUCAUCCAGAGAGUCACCAUACGCUCACGGGGAACAGAGGAAUCAAAAGAUUAUUAAUGGUGCAUGGCAAGAAUCCCAUUCCCAUAGAUCCCUCAGCCCUGAAAGAUCCCGCCCAUCUGAACUCAUUCAUGAGCACUUCUCAACCCAGUCUAAAACACUGAAAAGAUAAGACAUGCAUCAGGUGAGUUGUUUUUCUGUUGUUUCUCCUCAGCCCUGAAAGAUCCCGCCCAUCUGAACUCAUUCAUGAGCACUUCUCAACCCAGUCUAAAACACUGAAAAGAAUAAGACAUGCAUCAGGUGAGUUGUUUUUUCUGUUGUUUCUGCAACAACAAUGCAGCUUAUCCAAAAUGUUGGUUGGGAAAUUGCAACAUCACACAAAAUACUGCUCUAUCUAUCUAUCUAUCUAUCUAUCUAUCUAUCUAUCUAUCUAUCUAUCUAUCUAUAUUACUCCAUUAUCAUUUGUCUUUUGAAGUUGCAGAUGCUGAAGCCUUUUAUUUAUUUGUGUUUUUUUUGUUUUUGUUUUUUUAGUUGUAUUUAUUGUAUAUUUAUUUCUUCAGGUUUAAUGCUGUCAUCCUAUUAAACAUUGGUUGUUUAUUGUUGUUGUUGUUGUUAAUAAUAAUAAUAACUGUUUUGGGGCUAGAAAUAUACAGCUGUAACAUUAGAAAUUAUAUAAUCAUGGUUUCUUUUCCAGGAAGAGGCUCAAAUUCCUUCCUAAAGAGGCUGCAACAUGGGCCUGCUGAGGUCACCAAGUGGAGGCCUGGUUCAGUCUAUGUUCCCCCUCACUCAAAAUGUAGCAUGAGGCAAGAGUUUAUCUCUUUAGACUGUAAUAAAGCAAUACACUAUACUACACAAAGACCCUUGUCUUCUUCACGCAGAUCUACCACUUACAAUGGCUUGAAAAAAGGUUAUCAAAAGUCUUCAUUUCCAGUAAAAUCUGCAAAAUCAGAAGUAACCACUGAAUCCAUGAACAUUCAGAUACCAGUAACUAAGACGACUGCAAAAACAUCAGCACAAACUGUAAGUUCUGGGAGGAUAUUAGAUACUAAUGGUUUUUGAUGAGAUUAUUGUGAUAACCGAACUUUAUGCAUUCAAAGCAAAACUCUUCUAGAGGAUGUUUUAUAAAGGUUCUUAUUUUCUAGUUUGAACUGUGAUCACUACCAGAAUAUUGAUUGAAAAAAUACCACCAUUAAACCAUUAAAGUAUCAGCUUAGUCUCAACACUGCAGCCUUAAAAUAACAAGAUAUGCAUCUCGAAUGGUUAGCACCAACAGUCCCACGAUAACAAAUGAACAAAUGUGAAACAGUGACCUCUGGUGGUGUGAGAAUCGUUAUGUUUCAGAGGGGAAACACUACAGACUGUGUGCUGUAAUAAAGCGACCUUCACUCUUUUAACAAAGCAGUUCACUUUUUUCUCAUCGUUCCUUUGUUUCCCAACAGAAGGGUGUGAUUCGUGUGUCUGGAAUCCCUCUUGAUUACUCUGAGAGUGAACUCAUCAAAAUGGCAUCUCCCUUUGGUCACCCUGUUGAGGUUUUAAUGGCAACUGAUGUUGACACGACAACCUGUCUACAGUGGAAGAAGGUAUGUGCUAUUGUGGCCUGGUGUUUAUUUUAACAAACAAAUAUAAUAUUUUCCAGCAUAAGUACAGCACUUUUAUAUCUCUCUCUCUGUGUGUGUGUGUGUGUGUGUGUGUGUGUGUGUGUGUGUGUGUGUGUGUGUGUGUGUGUGUGUGUGUGUGUUCUCUCUCUCUGUGUGUGUGUGUGUGUGUGUGUGUGUGUGUGUGUGUGUGUGUGUGUGUGUGUGUGUGUGUGUGUGUGUGUGUGUGUUUUCAGGCUUUACUGAUGUUUCCAACUGAAUUCUCAGCCCAGGAGAUGGUGAAGGUUUACUCUGCUAUCCCAGUUCACAUGAGGCAGCAAAGUUUAGAGUUGGUGUCUCGAACUGUUGAUUUUAAUUCACCUGUGAGUUAACACACGAAUGGACGUAAACAAUUUUAUAAUUAACAUUUUCUUGCAUAAAUACUUCAUUAUUUUGUCCAUUUACUCUGAGGGUUUAAUGUAGCUACUUAUACUUUAGGUGUCAGUGUUUCAUGCCUUUGUGGGACCAUCAUUGUCAAAUGCAAGUAUUACUUUCAGACUUAAAUAUUCAAUCUUUAAAAAAAUAAUAAUAAUAAAUAACGAGACAAACAUUUUACAUAAGAUUUGUCAAACUACCAUACAUUCUUAUACCUCCUUACAAGAAGUCCCACUAUCUUUUAGGGGCUGCUAACACCUUUGGACCAUUUGCUGGUUGUAUGUAAUGUUCCCAAUCAGCCCUGUGCUGUUACAGGAGUGCUACGGCUACUAAAGCCUUUUGGACAAGUUUUCAGAACUCUGGUACUUCAUGGAAACAAGGUAAGCUAUGCUGCAUAUAUAAUAAAAAAAGAAAAACUUAAAUGCACUUGGUUGUUUGAAAAGUAUGUGAACACAUUCAAGUAUUUGACUUUAUUUCAAUGGUCUAUGUUUCUU
rnacentral:lncRNA from 1 species